CCUACGGUGAGCAGCAGUGGGGAAUAUUGGACAAUGGGGGGAACCCUGAUCCAGCGACGCCGCGUGAGUGAAGAAGUAUUUCGGUAUGUAAAGCUCUAUCAGCAGGGAAGAAAGAAAUGACGGUACCUGACUAAGAAGCCCCGGCUAACUACGUGCCAGCAGCCGCGGUAAUACGUAGGGGGCAAGCGUUAUCCGGAUUUACUGGGUGUAAAGGGAGCGUAGACGGCGAUGCAAGUCUGAAGUGAAAGGCGGGGGCCCAACCCCUGGACUGCUUUGGAAACUGUAUGGCUGGAGUGCAGGAGAGGUAAGUGGAAUUCCUAGUGUAGCGGUGAAAUGCGUAGAUAUUAGGAGGAACACCAGUGGCGAAGGCGGCUUACUGGACUGUAACUGACGUUGAGGCUCGAAAGCGUGGGGAGCAAACAGGAUUAGAUACCCGGGUAGUC
rnacentral:rRNA from 1 species